rnacentral:rRNA from 1 species
GACGAACGCUGGCGGCGUGCUUAACACAUGCAAGUCGAACGGUAAGGCUCCAGCUUGCUGGGGUACACGAGUGGCGAACGGGUGAGUAACACGUGGGUGACCUGCCCUGCACUUCGGGAUAAGCCUGGGAAACUGGGUCUAAUACCGGAUAGGACCAUGGUGUGGAUACUGUGGUGGAAAGUUUUUUCGGUGUGGGAUGGGCCCGCGGCCUAUCAGCUUGUUGGUGGGGUAAUGGCCUACCAAGGCGGCGACGGGUAGCCGGCCUGAGAGGGUGGACGGCCACAUUGGGACUGAGACACGGCCCAGACUCCUACGGGAGGCAGCAGUGGGGAAUAGUGCACAAUGGGCGGAAGCCUGAUGCAGCGACGCCGCGUGGGGGAUGACGGCCUUCGGGUUGUAAACUCCUUUCACCAUCGACGAAGGGUUUCUGACGGUAGAUGGAGAAGAAGCACCGGCUAACUACGUG